rnacentral:rRNA from 1 species
UGCAAGUCGAACGAACUCUUCGGAGUUAGUGGCAGACGGGUGAGUAACGCGUGGGAACCUACCUUUAGGUACGGAACAACAGUUGGAAACGACUGCUAAUACCGUAUGUGCCCUAUGGGGGAAAGAUUUAUCGCCUAAGGAUGGGCCCGCGUUGGAUUAGCUAGUUGGUGGGGUAAAGGCCUACCAAGGCGACGAUCCAUAGCUGGUCUGAGAGGAUGAUCAGCCACACUGGGACUGAGACACGGCCCAGACUCCUACGGGAGGCAGCAGUGGGGAAUAUUGGACAAUGGGCGCAAGCCUGAUCCAGCCAUGCCGCGUGAGUGAUGAAGGCCCUAGGGUUGUAAAGCUCUUUCAGCGAGGAGGAUAAUGACGUUACUCGCAGAAGAAGCCCCGGCUAACUUCGUGCCAGCAGCCGCGGUAAUACGAAGGGGGCUAGCGUUGUUCGGAAUCACUGGGCGUAAAGCGCACGUAGGCGGACUUUUAAGUCAGGGGUGAAAUCCCGGGGCUCAACCCCGGAACUGCCUUUGAUACUGGAAGUCUUGAGUCCGAGAGAGGUGAGUGGAACUCCGAGUGUAGAGGUGAAAUUCGUAGAUAUUCGGAA